rnacentral:rRNA from 1 species
CAUAGGAGCGGUGGAAACUGCAAGACUAGAGUACAGUAGGGGUAGCAGGAAUCCCCAGUGUAGCGGUGAAAUGCGUAGAUAUUGGGAAGAACAUCGGUGGCGAAAGCGUGCUACUGGGCUGAAACUGACACUGAGGGACGAAAGCUAGGGUAGCGAAAGGGAUUAGAUACCCCUGUAGUCCUAGCCGUAAACGAUGGAUACUAGGCGUGGCUUGUAUCGACNCGAGCCGUGCCGAAGCUAACGCGUUAAGUAUCCCGCCUGGGGAGUACGCACGCAAGUGUGAAACUCAAAGGAAUUGACGGGGGCCCGCACAAGCGGUGGAGUAUGUGGUUUAAUUCGAUGCAACGCGAAGAACCUUACCAAGGCUUGACAUCCCUGGAAUCCUGCGGAAACGUGGGAGUGCCUUAGGGAGCCAGGAGACAGGUGGUGCAUGGCUGUCGUCAGCUCGGGUCGUGAGAUGUUGGGUUAAGUCCCGCAACGAGCGCAACCCUCGUUUUUAGUUGCCAUCAUUAAGUUGGGCACUCUAGAGAGACUGCCGGUGACAAACCGGAGGAAGGUGGGGAUGACGUCAAGUCAUCAUGCCCCUUACGCCUUGGGCUACACACGUACUACAAUGGUCGGGACAACGGGCAGCGAGCUCGCGAGAGUAAGCGAAUCCCAUCAAACCCGGCCUCAGUUCAGAUUGCAGGCUGCAACUCGCCUGCAUGAAGGAGGAAUCGCUAGUAAUCGCAGGUCAGAAUACUGCGGUGAAUUCGUUCCCGGGCCUUGUACACACCGCCCGUCACACCAUGGGAGCUGGUCACGCCCGAAGUCGUUACUCUAACCUUAGGGAGGAGGGCGCCGAAGGCAGGGCUAGUGACUGGGGUGAAGUCGUAACAAGGUAGCCGUACCGGAAGGUGUGGCUGGAUCACCU